AAGGUCGGCGGUCUUAGUUUAUC
rnacentral:siRNA from 1 species